rnacentral:rRNA from 1 species
CCUACGGGAGGCAGCAGUGGGGAAUAUUGGGCAAUGGAGGAAACUCUGACCCAGCGACGCCGCGUGCGGGAUGAAGGCCUUCGGGUUGUAAACCGCUUUCAGUAGGGAAGAAGCGAAAGUGACGGUACCUACAGAAGAAGCACCGGCUAACUAUGUGCCAGCAGCCGCGGUAAUACAUAGGGUGCAAGCGUUGUCCGGAAUUAUUGGGCGUAAAGAGCUCGUAGGUGGUUCGUCACGUCGGAUGUGAAAAUCUGGGGCUCAACCCCAGACCUGCAUUCGAUACGGGCGAUCUAGAGUGUGGUAGGGGAGACUGGAAUUCCUGGUGUAGCGGUGGAAUGCGCAGAUAUCAGGAGGAACACCAAUGGCGAAGGCAGGUCUCUGGGCCAUUACUGACACUGAGGAGCGAAAGCGUGGGGAGCGAACAGGAUUAGAUACCCUGGUAGUCCACGCCGUAAACGGUGGGCACUAGUUGUGGGAACCUUCCACGGUUUCUGCGACGCAGCUAACGCAUUAAGUGCCCGCUGGGAGUACAUCGCAGAUUAAACUCAAUGAAUUGACGG